rnacentral:lncRNA from 1 species
AGUCACUCUGUUCUCCCUCCCCCAGGCACACAGAUUCUCCCUCCACUUGCUGCUGCUGGAGGGUAAGGGAGAAGUGCUGUAUACAGGGCAGGCCUGCCUUUCCUAACCCCAUCGGUGCCUCUUUCCUUGAUAUGAUGUCAGAAUCAGGACAGUUGCUCUGAUUCAUUUCUGGACUUCAGUGGAAGAAGCAGCCCUUAUUUAGGAUAUUGUUAGUCUUUGGCAGAGGGAAUACAAAGCAAUGGAAGGGUGAUGUGAUGGCUCCGAAAGCUUCUGUUGGAUGUAGAAUAUAAAGUUUGCUCACCUUUUUUAAUCCAAAGAGAAAAACAAGGAGAGAAAAAUCUAAACCCAGCAGAAGAGAAAGUUUAAGAAAGCGGUCGUCGCCAAUACCAAAAUUAGCUAUGAUAUUCAGGAAGAAAAAAAUGGAAACACGAUAACCACAGUCAAUAAAGACCAAGGCCACAUUCCAUUGACCAGAGCUCAGCCACGCGCCACACCUGGCUAAAGAGACUCUGGCUGAAGAAUUCCCUGAAUAUUUUAAUGUAGCUCUAGGUUAUAACACAGAACAACCACAAGGUGGCAGAAGAACUCCAUUCUUGUAAAUCUCUUAGUUGCUUCUUUAUUUCAUCUUCCCUAUUCCAUCUAAUGUUCCCUGAAUUUUACUAUUUUGUUGGUUUGAAAAUAUGUGUGACUUACGUCCUUUAAAGGAUUUGGUUCGUAAGGUUUUGAAUAGACUGGAAUAUAAAACAUUUAUAGAAAAGAAAAAUACCUACAGUAUGAUGUUAGUGAACUAUUAAUAAUCCAAUUAAAUAAAAUAUAUUUGCUUUGGAUUAAU